CAAUUUCUGCUCCGACUCUGCGGACUACUGCAGUGGAGCUUGACUCUUAAUGGUGAGCAAGGCAAAUGAGUCUGGCAGUAAGAAAAAGAAAGUCACCAAAGCUGAACGAUUGAAGCUGCUACAAGAGGAGGAGGAGAGACGACUGAAAGAGGAAGGUACAAAAUAAAUAGUGAUACUAUUUACCUAUACAGAGGAAGCCCGUUUGAAAUAUGAGAAAGAAGAAAUGGAAAGGCUUGAAAUACAGCGAAUUGAGAAAGAAAAAUGGCAUCGACUUGAAGCAAAAGAUCUAGAAAGGAGAAAUGAAGAACUUGAAGAACUUUAUUUAUUAGAGAGGUGUUUUCCUGAAGCAGAGAAAUUGAAACAGGAAACUAAAUUGCUUUCUCAGUGGAAGCACUACAUUCAAUGUGAUGGGAGUCCUGAUCCUUCAGUAGCCCAAGAAAUGAACACGUUUAUUAGUUUGUGGAAAG
rnacentral:lncRNA from 1 species